CAUUGACGUACGCCUGCCCAGUGACUGUUCGUUCAACGGCCGCGGUACUCUGACCGUGCAAAGGUAGCGUAAUCACUUGUCUUUUAAUUAAAGACUAGUAUGAAUGGCAUCACGAGAACUAGUCUGUCUCCCCGAUCUGAUCAGUGAAACUGAUCUCCCCGUGCAGAAGCGGGGAUAAUACCAUAAGACGAGAAGACCCUGUGGAGCUUUAAAUUAAAAACCAACUGCUUUCUUAUUUUCACAAAAUACAUCUUGCGGACCUGGUCAAGAUUUUUAGCUGGGGCGGCUGUGGAGAAAAACACAUCCUCCACGAAUAAAUAUGUCAAGGGCUACCGCCCUAAACAUUAACAAAUUAACUUUAAUUGAUCCUUAUUGAUCAACGAACCAAGUUACCCCAGGGAUAACAGCGCAAUCCACUUUUAGAGUCCAUAUCGACAAGUGGGCUUACGACCUCGAUGUUGGAUCAGGGCACCCCAGUGGUGCAGCCGCUACUAAAGGUUCGUUUGUUCAACGAUUAAAGCCCUACGUGAUCUGAGUCAAAACCCGGAGAGG
rnacentral:rRNA from 1 species